rnacentral:rRNA from 1 species
UCAGGAUGAACGCUAGCGACAGGCCUAACACAUGCAAGUCGAGGGGCAGCACAAGGAGCAAUCUGAGGUGGCGACCGGCGCACGGGUGAGUAACACGUAUGCAACCUGCCUGUAAGCGGGGAAUAACCCGUUGAAAGACGGACUAAUACCGCAUAAUACUAAAUUACUGCAUGGUAAUUUAUUUAAACAUUUAUGGCUUACAGAUGGGCAUGCGCAUGAUUAGCUAGUUGGAGAGGUAACGGCUCCCCAAGGCAACGAUCAUUAGGGGUUCUAAGAGGAAGGUCCCCCCACACUGGUACUGAGACACGGACCAGACUCCUACGGGAGGCAGCAGUGAGGAAUAUUGGUCAAUGGACGAGAGUCUGAACCAGCCAAGUCGCGUGCAGGAAGAAUUGUCCUAUGGAUUGUAAACUGCUUUUGCAGGGGAAUAAAGUGCAUCACGUGUGAUGUUUUGUAUGUACUCUGCGAAUAAGGAUCGGCUAACUCCGUGCCAGCCGCCGC